UUUUCUCUCCCUCUUCCCCCGCGUCGCCCUCUCUCCUUCUUUUUCUGAUUUCUUCACCGUCCGGCGUCCGAUGGACGUGAUUCCAGUUGUCCUUGGACCGUCUCUUCCUCCUCUACACGAUGGUACCAGUGGGUAUCGGCGAUUUGGCCGGCAAACCCCGAAUUUAUGCAAGCAUUGUUACUGUAGCAGUUUGCUUCUCCGGCGAAAUUCUCCAGUUUCCGGCUAUCUUCGGCGGUGAAAUUGGCUCUAUUAGGAGCGCCUCGGGUCACUGAUCAUCUUCCCUCAAGACUUCUAGUUGGAAUUUCCACGUUUGGAAGGUGAAUUUGAAGGAUUUCCAAAUUUGUGGGUUUGGAGAUUUCCGGGUUUGUGUUCAUCGGCAAAAUUGGAGCAUUUCAAGGGCGAUAUACCGAACUAUUGCUCGAUGAAGGAACUCGUAUGCGUGAUCGCCUAAAUAGUACUUUUGCAGGCCAGUUUAGCUUGAGGUCGAGCGUACUUGGGGUUGAGGCAUAGCUGUCAUAGCUUCCGCAUUAUAAAAGUAUCGGUCAUUUAUCUUGCUUUCUAUUCUCUUGUUCGCUUGUACAUUAGAUUGCUCUGAUAACCUAUGAGAUUAAUAUUCUUAAAUUCAGAAUUGUUUAUGAAAUGAGAGAUGUGAGAUGUUGUGAUAUAGGGAGCAGGGUGGCUCCAGGAAAAUAAGGAUGGAUGAUUUGGAAGUGUGGAUGUUUUUCUACAGGUUUUGGGUUGUCCAUUUUUAGGGGAAGUUCUGUCAAAUUGUUGGUAGAAUUUCUUCUAAAGUGGGCCCCGCAGGGCCUCUUCGGAUUUCAGGGUGAAAUCCGGGGCGGGUCCUGUCAGUUGGUAUCAGAGCAUUAGGUUGUAAGAUUCUGUAGACUUGUUUCGAUCUAGUUACCUUAUAUGCUUGAUGUUGCUCAGUACCUCCCGAGUGAUGGCCCGACUGCAGCGGUUCCCCAUCGUUUACUCUUCGGUGCUGAAGUAUUCAUCAAGUGUGUAAGGUACAUGGUUAGUGAUUUUCCUUCAGGUGCUAUGCCUCUUAUACGCCGACCUCAUAGGGAUUUCUCUGCGUAUCAGGUUGAUUAUGUGUCUUGCACCUUUUCCUGGUGAUUGUGAUGUUAGAUUACCUUAAAGGUUUGAGUUAUGCUCCGAAAUGUGAUCCGAGGGAAUGUGGUGGUUAUCUCUCCCUCGAUGCCAACAAGUUUGUUGGGGCAAGGUUUAAGGUGCAAGACUGGAGUUCGAUUUUGUGUUUGAUUGUUAGAGAUGAGUGGACAUAGCUUUGGGCUGUCUCUGUUUGCUAUAAAUUGCUUUGGAAUCAGAAUUGUUGAUGGAAAUGGAACUAGUAAUAUUAGUGGUUCUGACGUUGAACCAAGUUUCAGGAGUUAUGUUACAUGAGAUGAUAUGUUAUAUAAGCGACAUUUGGAAUAUCAUUGACAGUUGUUGGAGAUUACUUGGUAAUCACGACUGGUUAUCUUGGGCCUUUGACCUAACCAUGAUAUUUGGAUUUCGUUUUGUCCGGAUUGGAAGAAAUUGAUUUUAGAUACAUUGACUUAUAAUUGAUCCUUUUGAAGUUUUGGAUCGUAUUGAGUAAGAAGAUAGACAGAAUUUAAGUUUGAUAUAGUUUUAUGUUUGAAACUUGAGUAUUUAGUUGGACGCAUAGAGCUUUACAAUCGAGUUACGAUCUUUGCCAGUAUUUAAUUGAGAAGAUUAGAAACAACUUUUGUGUAUGAGAUUGUACCGAUGUGUGUACUUGGUUAUCCGUUUUUGGCUGUAAUGGUUGUACCUAAAAUCGGAGAAUAGUGGUAGUGAUAUCGUUGGGUAUUCAUAAUAGUGCAAGUGGAAUUUACUUGUGAUAUUGAGUAUGAUUCGAGUUAUAAAUUGUGGAGCCUUCAAGAUUAAUUGUGAUAGAUUCUUGGUGAAGUUUUUGCUAGACAGUUGGAUUGUGAUAUUGUAAGAGUGGUUAGUGGAAUAACUUUGAGGAAAUAAGUUUCCUAGUUGGCUCCGGAAAUACUUCUAAUUAAGGUUUGACCAGAAUUCUUGUUAUAUGUGGGUCAAACGUAAUGCGGUUUGUCUUGGCAGUGACGUAUUUCAACAGUGAUUAAAUGGAGGAAUUGGAUCACCAUGUGGUUGGAUUAAAUUUCAGAUCCAGGUACUGCUUGGUGUGAUACGAGAUGUUGGACGGGUGUCUGUUUUGCAUCAAGGUUGUUGUUCGAGGAAAGAUUCUGUGAACGGUGUUUUAUCAUCUAGGAAAAUUGGUUGUUGCUUGAGUUGAAUACGUAUAUUAACAGUUUGCUUUUGAGGAAUUAAGUGAGUUUUACUACCUUGGUACCGUUGUUGGUGGUAAUGGGUUAAACAGUUUGAAAUUUAAUUUUUACUUUGAUCGAUCUUUCUACCGUAUGGUGGCCUUGAUUGGAGAAGUAUAGAAAGUUGUUGGUACGAUUGAUAUUCGGUCACCAUCACGGGUUUAUAGGUACGAUGACUUAGCAAGAUGUUGGAGUUGAGUUUGAAAAUUAAUUGUUUGGACUUGGGUUUUAUCAAAGGUUUCAACCGACACUUGAAGUAUUAACUGUUGAGCUACUAUGGUUGAGAUGUGUUGUUGGAUUAAUGCUUAGCGAGAUGAGGAUUGAGAAAUUUUGGUGCAAUCUUAGUUAGCGCAGAUUAGUUUUUGAAAUUGUUGUUGUAGCUGGAAUAUUAUUGAAUAAGUGUUGUUAGAG